rnacentral:rRNA from 1 species
CACGUAGGCACCAAGCGUUGUCCGGAUUUAUUGGGCGUAAAGAGCUCGUAGGCGGUUCGGUAAGUCGGGUGUGAAAUCUCUGGGCUCAACCCAGAGGGGCCACCCGAUACUGCUGUGACUAGAGUGCGGUAGGGGAGUGGGGAAUUCCUGGUGUAGCGGUGAAAUGCGCAGAUAUCAGGAAGAACACCAAUGGCGAAGGCAGCUCUCUGGGACGGUACUGACGCUGAGACGCGAAAGCGUGGGGAGCGAACAGG